GACGAACGCUGGCGGCGUGCCUAAUACAUGCAAGUCGAACGCCUCUUUUUCCACCGGAGCUUGCUCCACCGGAAAAAGAGGAGUGGCGAACGGGUGAGUAACACGUGGGUAACCUGCCCAUCAGAAGGGGAUAACACUUGGAAACAGGUGCUAAUACCGUAUAACAAUCAAAACCGCAUGGUUUUGAUUUGAAAGGCGCUUUCGGGUGUCGCUGAUGGAUGGACCCGCGGUGCAUUAGCUAGUUGGUGAGGUAACGGCUGACCAGGGCCACGAUGCAUAGCCGACCUGAGGGGGUGGUCGGCCACAUUGGGACUGAGACACGGCCCAAACUCCUACGGGAGGCAGCAGUAGGGAAUCUUCGGCAAUGGACGAAAGUCUGACCGAGCAACGCCGCGUGAGUGAAGAAGGUUUUCGGAUCGUAAAACUCUGUUGUUAGAGAAGAACAAGGAUGAGAGUAACUGUUCAUCCCUUGACGGUAUCUAACCAGAAAGCCACGGCUAACUACGUGCCAGCCGCCGCAGUAA
rnacentral:rRNA from 1 species